rnacentral:piRNA from 1 species
CAAUAUAAGAAACAAUACAGAUGCAUCC